CAGUCGCCGCGGUAAUACGGAGGGGGCUAGCGUUGUUCGGAAUUACUGGGCGUAAAGCGCACGUAGGCGGCUUGGUAAGUUAGAGGUGAAAGCCUGGAGCUCAACUCCAGAAUUGCCUUUAAGACUGCCGAGCUAGCAGGUGAGAGAGGUAAGUGGAAUUCCGAGUGUAGAGGUGAAAUUCGUAGAUAUUCGGAAGAACACCAGUGGCGAAGGCGGCUUACUGGCUCAUACUGGACGCUGAGGUGCGAAAGCGUGGGGAGCAAACAGGAUUAGAUACCCCGGUAGUCCCUGUCUCUUAUAA
rnacentral:rRNA from 1 species